GGGGCAUUAUGAUGAUUGAUACAAGUCCGAUUGAUUCAUGAUUGGAUUACUAUCCUCCUACUCAUUCUGA